rnacentral:ncRNA from 1 species
UACGUGAUGCUGGGGUGCCUGUCGCGGUGCGGCGGGCUGAGAUCACACCCAUUGAACCUGAACCGGGUUGCGCCGGCGGAGGGAGUCGUCACGGUCUUGACC